CUUGGAUUUCGAUGUGGGUAUGGAUUUGCUAUUUUAACAUAUUCACAGCUGAUAAUAAUUUGUUACAUGGGAAAUAACGUAGUAGAAGCUAAUGAACGAGCUCAAGCUGCUUUUAAUGCUUUGCCAUGGUAUCUUAUGCCCAAAUGUCAUCAAAAAGAUGUGGCUUUCAUUGUAAAUAGAGCGCAAAAUGGUGCGAUCCUUUCGAUUGGCCCCCUUUCUGAACUAAAUGCUGAAACGGCAACAAAUUUAACAUCGGCAAUUUAUCGAAUUUUGAUGAUUUGCAUGAAAUUUGUGGAUUAACUAUUUUUGCUCCUGAAAGCACAUCAAUCAACAGCAAUAAAUGAAACACGCUUGGCUAAGUGAAUCAGAAUUGUUUUGUUUAUUUUUUUCUUCUUCUUCACAUUUGUGUAUAAUUUCCGUACAAGUUCAAAUAAAAUUGUUUAAAUUUCAUAGUAUGUAUCAUUA